CGCCCGGACUAUAAAACCGCUUCCCCACCCCUCACACUUCGCAGACUCCUUUUACCCCGCUGACUCCCUUUGCUUCGCAGACCCCCCUCGCUCCCCUGCUUACCCGCCCCCAGGAGUUCUGCUCGAGAGCGGCCGCCCAAUAAAAGGCCCUGAACAACAGUCCAUAGCGAUGGUUCCUUCUUCCCGCGGCGUUUCUUACAUCUGGCACCCAACGUGGGGCUCGAGGUGAGGGCUUCUGGCACUCGCCGUUGAGGCCCCCUCGAGCUCCACCGCCGCGGUAGCACCCGGACCAACCCCCCAGAUGGCAGGAUACGGGAUCUCUCAGCAGGUGGCUGCGGCCCUAGGUAUCGGCUGGCAUCUUCACAUCCCCUAUCGGCCCCAGUCGUCAGGCAAGGUAGAGCGGGUGAACGGCAUCAUCAAGACACAUCUGACCAAGACAGCCACAGUUCUGAGGCAAGCCUAUCUUGGGUCGACCUCCUUCCUCUGGCGCUCACUCGCAUUCGCACCACACCACACUCCAAAACAGAUGCAACUUAAUGAAGACAUGAAAGCAGAUUUCCUUCUGAGCAAAAUUGGACCUACUAGCACAUGAUUCCACUCUUUUCUUUACCUCCC
ensembl:lncRNA